AAGAAUGUAAGUAGACAUAAUUAAUCUUUGUGCUGAGAAAUAUAACAAAAUUACAUUUUACUUACAAAAUUAUCAAACGUAUUGUCAAAAAGAACUAACACAAAAUAUAGUUUCUAAUUCAUAUAAUAUCAACUUCCGAGUUUCAACGUUUUUGUAUCUUUCUUGGGAUAUAACAUAUAAGGCCCAAACCGAGGCCCAUACCAUAAUAAAGUAAGGAAAGCAAUGGCUUUCUUUUGGGCAUGUUGUAUUUUCCUUAUAACAAUCUUUUGUAGCUGCUAGGCCCUUUGGCAACAGGCCCUUUUUGGAAACAAUAUUAGUUUUCGCUUUUGAAAAAUGAGAAUUUGUUAUGUGUAACCGUAGUUUAUCCAGAGAUUAUAGUGGCAUACUGAUGCCUAUUUGGCUGCGUGAAUCCAAAACUAGGCUAUAAUGAUUCACAGAGACAGAGCCACAGUGGCAUAAGCAUUUUAAACUUAAAUCCAAAAUACAUCAAUAAAUCGUCAAUCAAGUUAUGGUGUUACCAUUUUACUAGUAGUGGCUUAACUUAAAAAAUUUUAAGGGGCACACAAGCCCUAGAGAUUAAUUGAUCCAACCAAGUUCGACUUCACCGACUACUUUUGACAACAAUUAGAACAGCUAAAAGACACUCUUUUCGAAUUUGGAAAAUCUAAUAUUUUUGCUUAAAACUAUUUUAAUGAAUUA
rnacentral:sRNA from 1 species